rnacentral:rRNA from 1 species
UACGGGGGGGGCAAGCGUUGUUCGGAAUUACUAGGCGUAAAGGGCUCGUAGGUGGCCAACUAAGUCAGACGUGAAAUCCCUCGGAUUAACCGGGGAACUGCGUCUGAUACUGGAUGGCUUGAGUUCGGGAGAGGGAUGCGGAAUUCCAGGUGUAGCGGUGAAAUGCGUAGAUAUCUGGAGGAACACCGGUGGCGAAGGCGGCAUCCUGGACCGACACUGACACUGAGGAGCGAAAGCCAGGGGAGCAAACGGG